rnacentral:rRNA from 1 species
UACGUAGGGUGCAAGCGUUGUCCGGAAUUAUUGAGCGUAAAGAGCUCGUAGGCGGUUUGUCGCGUCUGCUGUGAAAACUCAGGGCUUAACCCUGAGCCUGCAGUGGGUACGGGCAGACUAGAGUGUGGUAGGGGAGAUCGGAAUUCCUGGUGGUAGCGGUGGAAUGCGCAGAUAUCAGGAGGAACACCGGUGGCGAAGGCGGAUCUCUGGGCCAUAACUGACGCUGAGGAGCGAAAGCAUGGGGAGCGAACAGG